rnacentral:rRNA from 1 species
AGAGUUUGAUCAUGGCUCAGAGUGAACGCUGGCGGCAGGCCUAACACAUGCAAGUCGAACGGCAGCGGGUCCUUCGGGAUGCCGGCGAGUGGCGGACGGGUGAGGAAUACAUCGGAAUCUGCCCAGUCGUGGGGGAUAACGUAGGGAAACUUACGCUAAUACCGCAUACGACCUUCGGGUGAAAGCAGGGGAUCGCAAGACCUUGCGCGAUUGGAUGAGCCGAUGUCGGAUUAGCUAGUUGGCGGGGUAAAGGCCCACCAAGGCGACGAUCCGUAGCUGGUCUGAGAGGAUGAUCAGCCACACUGGAACUGAGACACGGUCCAGACUCCUACGGGAGGCAGCAGUGGGGAAUAUUGGACAAUGGGCGCAAGCCUGAUCCAGCCAUGGCCGCGUGGGUGAAGAAGGCCUUCGGGUUGUAAAGCCCUUUUGUCCGGAAAGAAAAGCUCUCGGCUAAUACCCGGGGGUUCUGACGGUACCGGAAGAAUAAGCACCGGCUAACUUCGUGCCAGCAGCCGCGGUAAUACGAAGGGUGCAAGCGUUACUCGGAAUUACUGGGCGUAAAACGUGCGUAGGUGGUCUGUUAAGUCUGAUGUGAAAGCCCUGGGCUCAACCUGGGAAUGGCAUUGGAUACUGGCGGGCUAGAGUGCGGUAGAGGGCAGUGGAAUUCCCGGUGUAGCAGUGAAAUGCGUAGAGAUCGGGAGGAACAUCUGUGGCGAAGGCGACUGCCUGGACCAGCACUGACACUGAGGCACGAAAGC